rnacentral:misc_RNA from 1 species
GAAUAACGCGUCGGUCUUCGCUUCGGCAAGGCCUUCGCACCCUCACAUCCAUAACACCUGUGAACCGUAAGAUGUGGUGACUUGUUGCCCAUCUGCCCUUUUUUAUAAACACUUGUAGUAACAAAAGUAGUCUUAUUAUAAUCUAAUAAAACUUUCAACAACGGAUCUCUUGGCUCU